rnacentral:rRNA from 1 species
CCUACGGGUGGCAGCAGUGAGGAAUAUUGGUCAAUGGACGAGAGUCUGAACCAGCCAAGUAGCGUGAAGGAUGAAUGCCCUAUGGGUUGUAAACUUCUUUUAUAUGGGAAUAAAAUGUUCCACGUGUGGGCUUUUGUAUGUACCAUAUGAACAAGGAUCGGCUAACUCCGUGCCAGCAGCCGCGGUAAUACGGAGGAUCCGAGCGUUAUCCGGAUUUAGUGGGUGUAAAGGGAGCGUAGGUGGGUUGUUAAGUCAGUUGUGAAAGUUUGGGGCUCAACCGGGAAAUUGCAGUUGAAACUGGCAGGCUUGAGUACAGUAGAGGUGGGCAGAAUUCGUGGUGUAGCGGUGAAAUGCUUAGAGAUCUCGAAGAACUCCGAUUGCGAAGGCAGCUCACUGGACGGAGACUGACGCUGAGGCUCGAAAGUGUGGGGAUCAAACAGGAUUAGAUACCCGGGUAGUC